GGUUGAGGUGUGUACAAGGGACGAAGGCGCGUCCUUCUCGUUACGUCAUCAGCGCGAGCCCCAGACCGAGUGGAUCGAUCGAAAUGAAGGAGCAGAGACAUGCGGGUGAUGGAUCACAGGUGGAGGAAGAAGAAACUGAUCUCUCUGCAUGGAAUGAUCAAAUAAUUAAUUGUGGUUUUACUGGGGCCGUUAAACCUGAGAACAAAGAGGCCAUAAUAAGAUCAAUUGUGCUUCAUGCAACUCUACGUUUGGUCCCUUUGUUGAAGCAAAUCUGAAAAGGUCUUGAAGUCCACAAUUUUGUGGACAUCCUGGAAAAACAUUCAGGACUUUGCCACCAGUUCUUUGUCCCUGAUGUGGUGUAUGAUGAUGAUAAGGCUGAUGCAGACUUCAUCAUGCAGAACAUUCUUCCAAAAAUGUCGGAGAAGGGAUCAGUACGAGAGACUUAUGAAACCGCUAUAAUCAACUUUCUGCAAGACUUUCUCCAAGAAAUUGAAAGCUGUGUUAUGUAUGAACUGACAGAGUUGAUUUAGUAUAAAUAUUGUAAAAAAAAAACUGCAGAUUACACAAAUUAAUGUUAAAAUAUAAUUGAUUUAAUUCAGACAAUACCAACCCCAACCAAGCCAUUCAAUUUGACAACGGUUUAAACAAUUUAAAAUUAUACUAAAUGUAUGUAAUUGUACGUUCAGGAAAAAAAAAAAACCUUUUAUACAUUGGUAAAUGUUCUUAUGGUUUUGAAAUUUACUGUGUAUGUGUAGAGAACACAACGUGUUACAUAAUGUAAAAUUGUAUAUCUUAAUGAAUGUGUUAAGAGAACACAAGUUGUUAUACUAGCCAUUUUCUGCUUUAAAUAUAGCAAUACAGAAAAUAAAACAAGCAUGCAAU